rnacentral:rRNA from 1 species
UACGUAGGGUGCAAGCGUUAUCCGGAAUUAUUGGGCGUAAAGAGCUCGUAGGCGGUCUGUCGCGUCUGCUGUGAAAUCUGGGGGCUCAACCCCCAGCCUGCAGUGGGUACGGGCAGACUAGAGUGCGGUAGGGGAGACUGGAAUUCCUGGUGUAGCGGUGAAAUGCGCAGAUAUCAGGAGGAACACCGGUGGCGAAGGCGGGGUCUCUGGGCCGUAACUGACGCUGGAGGAGCGAAAGCGUGGGGAG